AAAUUUUUGAGAUAAAGACUUAAUUGAGUUGAGUUGUAUUUUUGUAAAUUUAUAGAAAUUCCAAUCUUUCUUUUACAACCUAAGAAAUUCUAAAUUAACAAGAAGAAAUAAACUACAUCUGUAUCUGUCCACUCCUAAUUAGUUGAAAUCCUUUAUUUGAUUGACUUCUAAGAUUGGAUAUGCCAUGUAAUUACAGAAUGUACAAUAGAAUAACAUAAAGAUCAUAUUCCCCAAGCAUUCUUCUAGCAUCUCCCAAUUUUUGCUUGAUGUAAGUGUGACUACCCAACUCAUUAUGGCCUCAGAAGUUUUGGACCUGUAUUAGAGGCCAUCCAAGAGGUGAUCACUUCAACAAGCCGAUCUAUGUCCUUAGAUGCUUCAGCACGAAGGAUCCUUGAAUCUCCACCUAUUGUGUUGCCUACUUCCUUAGCAACGGUCUCCCAUGGUGUUCCCACGGUCAGAUUUGCCAAAAACUCACUUCCCCGAUUUACUGCAUCUGCCAUUGCGGGUGGGACAUCUGGGAGAACCUGCAAGAUAUAUAAGUAUAAAGGAUAUGUCAUUCGACUUGGCGAUUAUAGUGAUUUCACUUGGUUCAUUAUUACCUGUUGCAAAGGAAGCCCAUGAUCUCCAGGCAUCAAGCGAAUUGACAUGUCUAGCAUUGAACUAAUAGCUGAUUCUGAACUAAGCAACUGAGCUAAGGUUGAAGUUUCAUCAAUUGCAUCAUCCUUGAACUUCACCAGAAGAUUUCUAGAAAUGCCAUAGUAUGACUUCACCUGUAGAAAUACAAAACAUAGAUGAUUAGGUCUAUAUUAAAAACCUGAAACAAUGUUCCGAAAGUACACGUUGAAUUUUGCAGAAGAGAGUUGCAAUUGACUGCAGCAAUUUUCAGUCAUUUUAGAAAAUAAUUCGCUAUUAAGAUUUAAGAACCUUCUAAUCUGCCAUCAUAUCAUGCAGCUACAUCACAAAAGAUUCACAACAUAAGUUGCCACAGCUGUGAUCUACUACAUAUAUGCUAAAAUCAUGAAACCAAAACAUGAUUGUACCAUCAUUAAAAAUCAGAAUGGAUAAAUCUUCAAUUAUUGUGGCCCAAGAAAGGUUUCAUAAUGCAACAGCAAUUCCACAAUAUGAUUUUAAUUUGUUCUUGGAACUUUUACAUACAAGUCGGCGGGUUUCUUCAGGUUUUGGAGAAAAAUCUUCUCUUCCCUUGACUAAGUCCAUGUACAAUGGAGGCAGCUGCUCCACCAAAGGAAGAACUUGCCUCAUAAUGGGUGGGCUUAGGUUCUCUAGUUGCUUCAAAGUCAUCUCUGCCUGCAAGAACUGUAAGUAAUUAAAAACAACUGUAAAGAUUAGUUGUAAAUCUGUCUGCAAGAAUUUGUUCAAGAUAAAGAUCUGUCUGUUCAACUCAAGUACGAGGAUGUCUACACAUUUUAUAAUAUCAUUUGGCCUUCUGUUAAAAUUUGAAUGAAAUUGCCUAUCAAUGUCGAUAUGUAGAUAUCUUAUCCAAAAUAAGCACAAGAAAUGGAGUCAACUGAUUCACUUGCUUGUCAUUUCUGUUCUGAAAUUUGGAACAUUUUCUGAUGCACUAAUGUUUUUAAGCAUUUUGAGAAUUUGACUGAAGUUCUGACUUUAUUUGGUUAAGAGCCCUAAAAUAUACGUAUGUAUUGAGAAACACACAGUUGACUGAUGUAUCUAUGUAUUGACAAACACACCAUUGGCUGACAAAAGACUUAAAAUGUCCAGGUGAGUUGUCUAAGUGAGAACUGCACCAAACUUUGUAGAGGGGAAACAUGAAGGAAAACGAGACUACCUGAGUCAUGAAGUGGAAAUUGUAGAACAAAAUGGGUGGACACAAGGAGUACCAGACCAAUUCAGUGUAAAGUAUACGAGACACAUGAUGAGUUCCUUGGAUGGCCUUAUCUCAAACAAAUGAACCAGCUAUCUCAUGAAUUUCCCGAUGUUUAAAUUCUCCUACUUAUAGAUAAUAUUGCAUUCUUCAACGGUUAAAAAAGAAAUGUAGACUGCACACUGCACGGAGAAAAUCACUGACUUAGAAUCUCACCCCAAGGCGGACUGUUGGUGAUGAUGCAAUUUGUGAUAGAAAUGGUCCAAUGCUUUGGGCCACAGGAACAAGAACAGGCGAGAACAAAGGGAUAGCUAAGCUUGCCUCCUUGUUGUUAAAAGCCAUUAACACAUUCCCACUUCUUUGCACAGCAUAUCGUGAUCCAAUCAAAAGGUGAAUAACAGAACCCAAUGAGUGGCCAAUGCCAAAAGUAGGAAGAUCUUCUGUCAUUUCUUUUAAAAAACGAAAACACCUAUCAAAUUUAAACUGCACUUCAUCCGCAAUGAAGAAAUGAUCAAAGCCACUAGCAUAUGGUGUGGCAAUCACCAAAAUACCCUUUUCUGCAAGGCGCUCAAGAAACAAACGGUAGGUAAGCUGUGGAGCUGCUCCAACAAAUAUACCUCCAACAAAAUGAACGGCUGACUUGGGUUGUGAGCUUCUUGGUUUGAGAACCCAUGCACCCUCGACUUCAAUCCAGUCUUUUGAACCACCCCAAGCAUCUUGGGAUUGCCUCACAGUUUCUGUAAUUAAUCUCUCAAUCUGACCAUAAAGUUGAAUUCCUGUAGAAGAUGAUUGAUUGGGUUUCGUAUCGUCAUAGUUACAAUAGAUUCCGGAGGAGCGGCUACGGCGGGGACGGGUUGUGACUGAGAAAUUACAAAGGCGGCGGUCAUACAGAUGACAGGGAUGAAGAGAAUGAUAAUCGGAUAAGGCGGAGGAGUCAUCCCCAACAACUAAUUCAAUAUCGCCAUCACUCCUCCGCCUU
rnacentral:misc_RNA from 1 species